rnacentral:rRNA from 1 species
AUACGGAGGGUGCAAGCGUUACUCGGAAUCACUGGGCGUAGAGCGCGCGCAGGCGGCUAUUUAAGUUGGAUGUGAAAGCCUACGGCUCAACCGUAGAACUGCAUCCAAAACUAUUUAGCUAGAGUGUGGGAGAGGAAGAUGGAAUUAGUUGUGUAGGGGUAAAAUCCGUAGAGAUAACUAGGAAUACCAAAAGCGAAGGCAAUCUUCUGGAACACUACUGACGCUGAGGCGCGAAAGCGUGGGAGCAAACAGGAUUAGAAACCCUAGUAGUCC